GCACUUCUGAGGAGUCUCAUAAUAGGACGAAACGGCCGUCCAGUGC
rfam:Schistosoma mansoni, Puerto Rico, WGS project CABG01000000 data, contig: 0013